GAUGAACGCUGGCGGCGUGCCUAAUACAUGCAAGUCGAGCGAACAGACGAGGAGCUUGCUCCUCUGACGUUAGCGGCGGACGGGUGAGUAACACGUGUAUAACCUACCUAUAAUACUGGGAUAACUUCGGGAAACCGGAGCUAAUACCGUAUAAUAUAUUGAACCGCAUUGUUCAAUAGUGAAAGACGGUUUUGCUGUCACUUAUAGAUGGAUCCGCGCCGCAUUAGCUAGUUGGUAAGGUAACGGCUUACCAAGGCAACGAUGCGUAGCCGACGUGAGAGGGUGGUCGGCCACCCUGGAACUGAGACACGGUCCAGACUACUACGGGAGGCAGCAGUAGGGAAUCUUACGCAGUGGGCGAAAGCAUGACGGAGCAACGCCGCGUGAGUGAUGAAGGUCUUCGGAUCGUAAAACUCUGUUAUUAGGGAAGAACAAAUGUGUAAGUAACUAUGCACGUCUUGACGGUAACUAAUAAGAAAGCCACGGCUAACUACGUG
rnacentral:rRNA from 1 species